CAGGAGACGGCGUUCUACCCUGUGGGGGCAGUCUGCGUUUCACAGGAAUGUAAAAUCAUGUGCGACUCAAACAAGCAAACUAUCAGCUAAGGUGCUGACGGUUGUUUUGGCCAAAGGGGACAGGAGUGUACCAAAUAUGUGACCUAUCAGGAAAAAAACAGGCCAGACACUGACGAGCCAAUAGGGAGAGGCUGAGGGAUCAAGAGAAACAAUUACUGCAGAGUGACUGACAGUCACGCAUUCAGGAGCUUUAUUCCUCCCACAAAGUGAUCACAGCUCCCGUGGUGGGUGAAGCAGAGCCACUGGAUGACAGAUGUUUUUAGGGAACAUUACCUCAAUGAACUUGCGAAGGAUGCAGAAUGAGACACUUUUUCUCUGUGGCUCAAAACAGAAGCAGGUGCAGUGCCCGUAAACAUCCACAUCUAAGCAACAGUCUCAUAUAGGUUACAAUUAAAACAAGAUGUCCUGCGAAUGAGUCAGUGGGACACACAUGUGUUUAGUCGAACCUCGAAGCCCGGCCUUCGGGACUGCGGAAGGCUUUGGAGUAGUAGUGGUUUAAUGUAAUUAAGGAUCAUGUUUGCUUUACAAGCAGGAUGAGCCCCAGAGGUCAAUGGAAGAAAAGUGGGGUCUGUCUCAUGAUUCCAUCAGAGGAUUACCACUUCCUCCUUCCUGUUUACUUCCUCUCGGCCGUACAGCUGUGCUCAGAUGCCAACCAGAAAGUGUUCCUCCAGAUAGCAAAUGUUAAUUACGGUCCUGUGUUUUGAGCAAUUUCCUUUUCCUCUCCUUCUCACAUCUAGUUUAUCUUUGUGUUUUCGUCCGUGUCUGUCUCUUGCAGAUCAUCCUUUCUCAAACUCCCCCUUUUCCUCCUCCAGACUUCACCUCCGAUUACAGUUUAGUCUGUGUGCCAGCUGCAGCGAUACAACAGAGGAUAUACGAGAACGAUGUUUAAUCAGUCGCAUGGAAGGUUUUUACUCAAUUAAUGAAGAGCUUGAGGUGAGACAACAUUAGGAUCGGAGCUGACAGUCGGAGAGAUGAGAGACUUUGAAUAUACGUGACACAUUUUGAAAAAACACUGAAAAAAACUAAAACAAGACUACUCUUUAAUUAAAACACACAAAAGCACAUUACACUCACACAUUUGCAACGGCUGCUCCCCCUGAAGUGAAAUGAAGCGUUUGCAUCAUAUAAUUAAUCAGAUGAUUUGAAUAAAAUAGUCUGUGCCUUAAAUGCUUUACUAUCCAUGAAUGUUUGCACUUCCUUUCCUAAUCCUCUUGCUGACACUGAAGCUUUUCAUCUAUACCCCUCUGAUCUUCCAGCCUUUGAAAUGAGCAGCUCCACACCUGCUCAUCCCAGACACUUAAACAGCACUGGAGCUAUUGAACGUACCCCCCGCAUCCUCACUUUGUUUAGAAUUCCACCACUCCACUGGCCGAGAAAUAGGUUAUUGAGUUAUCUAGAAAAUUUCGCCGAGUAGAAAAACAGAGAACCUCCUCACAUCUCUAACACGGACUGAUUAAAAAAAGCUUUUUUGUCCAGACAUCUCAGUGAAUCUGCUUUCUAAAACAGGUCCCUGGCAUUAGGGGGGACACGGCAAGUGGGCAUAUUUCUUGCAGCAUUUCCUGCUGUUCAGAUAUUUACCGUAAUCUUAAUCAGUUGAUCUUGGCAAGUUAAUUGAGAAUGUAAAAUAAAUUACACGCACAAAGACGUUUUUUUGUGAUAAAAGGUACCAUUUCCUCAUUAAACAUGUUUACAGGCAGGAAUUCUCUGCAAAUAAUCAAUAAAUGAAUUUAGUUAAAAAGGGAAAUUUAUACAAGUGAAAAGACAGCAACCAAAAGAAGUCGCUUAAUAGUACUGUAGAAAUGGCUUUUCUGUUUAUUCUAGUCGCAGGAUAUUCUCCUUUAUUCACAACAUUAAUAUGCAUACUCAUAUGUUGCAAUGAUGUACAGUAUUGUGCAAAAGUUUUGAGCACUAAACAGAUGUUUAGACUCUUAUCCGUACCACCAGGGAGGCGUCUGAUCAGUCCAAAAUUAAUUCUGCGGGAGGACAACGACCCCAAACACACAGCCAGACUCAUAAAGAACUAUCUUCAGAGACAAGAACAAGGCGUCCUGCUACAGAUGGUCUGGCCCCCACAGAGCCCUGAUCUCAACAUCAUGGAGUCAGUCUGAGAUUACAUGAAGAGACAGAAGACACUGGGACAGCCUGAAUCAACAGAAGAACUGCGGCAAAUUCUCCAAGAGGUUUGGAUCAAAUUACCUGAGUGCAAGUGUACUGAGGAGAACUGGUGAUGUUUUAAAGGCCACAGCAAAUAUUUACUUGAUUUGAUUUCUUUUUCUGUUCACUGCAAGUUAAAUAAAUAAAGAACAUUCAUGGCAUUA